ACUCACCUCUAAAUAGUUCAAAUAGGGACCCAAUCAAUGAAAGCAAGUACAAUAGGUCGUAUUUCAAUCAAAGUGUAUUAAUAAAUGUGAAAAAUGUCUUGAAAUUUACUGUGAUUAGAUUAUUGACCAUAUUAAGCCAAAGUGUAAGGUUAUUUUGUCUUCAAGACCUUUCCUGGCAACCACCUGGUGCCUGAAAGGUCAUGUCAACCUUGGACAGUUGUAGCAUAGUGAACUGCAUGCCUCGGGUCUGACUGGCUGACCAAUAAAAAAAAAUAUGAUGCAAGACAGCUGACAAAUGCCAACGAUGUAAAUCUAAAUGUUACCUUGAAAAUUCCAUUAUUAACAACAAGUUGAUAGUUGAAACUUGAAA